rnacentral:rRNA from 1 species
GGGCUUAAGGGUGCGUAGGCGGCUUGUCAAGUGUUUUGUGAAAUCCCACAGCUCAACUGUGGAACAGCAGGGCAAACUGACAAGCUUGAGGCAGGUAGGGGCCGGAAGAACAGUUGGUGGAGCGGUGAAAUGCGUAGAUAUCAACUGGAAUGCCGAUGGGGAAGCCGUCCGGCUGGGCCUGUCCUGACGCUGAGGCACGAAAGCGUGGGGAGCAAACAGGAUUAGAUACCCUGGUAGUCCACGCCGUAAACGAUGUACACUAGACUGGUGCGGUUUUGACGCCGUAUCAGUCGCAGUAAAAACGAUAAGUGUACCGCCUGGGGAGUACGGUCGCAAGGCUAAAACUCAAAUGAAUUGACGGGGGCUCACACAAGCGGUGGAGCAUGUUGCUUAAUUCGAGGCAACGCGAAGAACCUUACCUGGGCUUGACAUGUACGGAUUAACUCCUUGAAAGAGGAGCCACAGCCGCAAGGUUGGAACGUGCACAGGUGCUGCAUGGCUGUCGUCAGCUCGUGCUGUGAAGUGUCGGGUUAAGUCCCUUAACGAGCGCAACCCCUGUCGUUAGUUGCUCACGCGUAAUGGCGAGUACUCUAGCGAGACUGCCGGUGUCAAACCGGAGGAAGGUGGGGAUGACGUCAAGUCCUCAUGGCCCUUACGCCCCAGGGUUGCAAACGUGCUACAAUGGCGCGCACAAAGCGAUGCGAGAUCGCGAGAUGGAGCAAAUCGCAAAAACGCGCCCAAGUUCGGAUUGCAGCUGCAACUCGCCUGCAUGAAGUCGAAUCGCUAGUAAUCGGAGAUCAGCUACGCUCCCGGUGAAUGUGUUCCUGAGCUUGUACACACCGCCCGUC